rfam:Perkinsus marinus ATCC 50983 gcontig_1104296118742, whole genome shotgun sequence.
GCCUUCUUAGAUUAGUUGGUAGAGCACCCGCUUAGUAAGCGGGAGGUCGUCGGUUCAACUCCGGCAGAAGGCU